rnacentral:rRNA from 1 species
AUGACCUUUGUCCAUGGAAAGCGGCCGCGGCCGCAGCUUCGUCAAUCGUCACGCUCGCCAUCAGGUGUCAGCGAUCUUAGCCGUGAGGAGCGAGCGACACACCGUUCCGUCAACACCGUCGUCCGUCGGCAUCCGGUAUUACUAUACGCUAUACAUGUACUGAUUGUGAUUGGCAUCCCAUCCAACACCAGAAUGAGAACCCCCUUCAGUUUUGGAGUUCAACGUCGUUUUGAUAAAGAAUGGUUCAAGACAUACAAGCCUAGGUUGGAGUACAGUAUGAAGGAAGAUGCAUCAUUUUGUCUUGUCUGCUACUUGUUUCAAAAUGAAAGCAUAGGGCGUGGUGGUGGAGAUGUAUUUUCAUCUAAGGGCUGGAGAAAUUGGAAUAACCUAAAGAGAUUGGAUGUUCAUGUUGGCGGUCCUUCGAGUACUCAUAAUCAGAAUAUGAAGCGAUGUGAUGAUCUAAUGAACCAGAUCAAUCAAUUGCAGCUGUUGUAUGCAAGCAAACAAAAAAAAUCCAAGAUAGAGUACAAAACUCGGUUAAUUGCGUCAAUAGAUAUUGCAAGGUUGAUUCUUAUUCUAGGCUUGCCAUUUCGAUGUCAUGAUGAAACUGAGACUUGUUUGAGGAAGGGUAAUUUUCUAACUUUUUAUGAGUGCUAUGAUGCACGUUGUCCAGAUGUGGUUGUUGUUGCUUUGAAGAAUGCUCCUAAGAAUUUAAAGUUGAUUUCUUCUACAAUCCAGAAAGAUAUUGUGGAAGCUUGUGCUAUAGAAACAGUAAAAGAAAUCAUAGAAGAUCUUGGAGAUGAAUACUUUGCUAUACUGGUUGAUGAAUCUCAUGAUGUAUCUCAUAAGGAACAAAUGACUCUUGCUAUUGGACUUUCUCAUGUUACUCAAACAACUUCUCUUGCUCUCCAGCAAGCUAUCUAUGUAGUGCUUAACCAUCAUAACCUUAGCCCUUCUCGGAUUCGUGGCCAAGGAUAUGAUGGAGCUAGUAAUAUGCAAGGACACUUGAAUGGCUAUGCUCCUUCUGAGAAAACUCGCAUUGCAAAUAUUUUGAACUAUAUGCUGAGAUCCUUACCAACCAUUGACAUCGGGACCCCGAUCUCCCCUCUUAAGCUUGUUGCAGCAUAUUUUAAACCUGUGGAGACCAAGUUUGGCUCUCAGGUGACACCUUGGUGA